CUGGAAGCUUGGUUCACUUUUCUUUUCCUUCUCUCCCCGUAACUCCAUUGAUAAGAUAUUGAAUGAAGGAAAUUUCCGGACGAUUCAACGGUAUAAGAUAUUGAUCAAGAGUAAUAAGAAUUUGCUAGGACUAAGUGAGACAAAGGUUCGAAGAAAGAAGAAGAUUAAAACUAGAAGAGGGCAGCAUAUUCCUGAAGAGGGUCAGAUCAGAUAAAUUUGAACGUAG